rnacentral:rRNA from 1 species
CCUACGGGAGGCAGCAGUGGGGGAUAUUGCACAAUGGGGGGAACCCUGAUGCAGCGACGCCGCGUGGGUGAAGGAGCGUUUCGGCGCGUAAAGCUCUAUCGGCAGGGAAGAAGGAGGACGGUACCUGACUAAGAAGCCCCGGCUAAUUACGUGCCAGCAGCCGCGGUAAUACGUAGGGGGCAAGCGUUAGCCGGUUUUAUGGGGUUUAAAGGGUGCGGAGGCGGAUUUUUAGGUCAGCGGUAAAAUGUCCGGGCUCAACCCGGGCCGGCCGUUGAAACUGGGGAUCUUGAGUGGGCGAGAGGUAUGCGGAAUGCGUGGUGUAGCGGUGAAAUGCGGAGAUAUCACGCAGAACUCCGGUGGCGAAGGCAGCAUACCGGCGCCCGACUGACGCUGAGGCACGAAAGCGUGGGGAUCGAACAGGAUUAGAUACCCUAGUAGUC